UACGAAGGGGGCUAGCGUUGCUCGGAUUGACUGGGCGUAAAGGGCGCGUAGGCGGUUCGUACAGUCAGACGUGAAAUUCCUGGGCUCAACCUGGGGGCUGCGUUUGAUACGUGCGGACUUGAGUGCGGAAGAGGGUCGUGGAAUUCCCAGUGUAGAGGUGAAAUUCGUAGAUAUUGGGAAGAACACCGGUGGCGAAGGCGGCGACCUGGUCCGAUACUGACGCUGAGGCGCGAAAGCUAGGGGAGCGAACGGG
rnacentral:rRNA from 1 species